UACAGAGGUCUCAACCGUUGUUCGGAUUCAUUGGGCGUAAAGGGUGCGUAGGCGGUCGUGCAAGUCGGAUGUGAAAUCCCUGGGCUCAACCCAGGAACUGCGUCCGAUACUGGAAGGCUUGAAUCCGGGAGAGGGAUGCGGAAUUCCAGGUGUAGCGGUGAAAUGCGUAGAUAUCUGGAGGAACACCCGUGGCGAAGGCGGCCAUCUGGACCAGCACUGACGCUGAGGCACGAAAGCGUGGGGAGCAAACAGG
rnacentral:rRNA from 1 species